UACGUAGGGUGCAAGCGUUGUCCGGAAUUAUUGGGCGUAAAGAGCUCGUAGGCGGUUUGUUGCGUCGGCUGUGAAAUCCCGAGGCUCAACCUCGGGUCUGCAGUCGAUACGAGCAAACUAGAGUGUUGCAGGGGAGACUGGAAUUCCUGGUGUAGCGGUAAAAUGCGCAGAUAUCAGGAGGAACACCGGUGGCGAAGGCGGGUCUCUGGGCAACAACUGACGCUGAGGAGCGAAAGCCAGGGGAGCGAACGGG
rnacentral:rRNA from 1 species